CACGCCGUAAACUAUGGGUGCUAGCCGUCGGAUAGCUUGCUAUUCGGUGGCGCAGCUAACGCAUUAAGCACCCCGCCUGGGGAGUACGGCCGCAAGGUUAAAACUCAAAGGAAUUGACGGGGGCCCGCACAAGCGGUGGAGCAUGUGGUUUAAUUCGACGCAACGCGAAGAACCUUACCAGCUCUUGACAUUUACUGAUCGUUUCCAGAGAUGGAUUCAUCCCAGCAAUGGGCAGUAGGACAGGUGC
rnacentral:rRNA from 1 species